AGAGAGAGACAUGCGCGCAUAUCAAUAAGCGGAGGAAAAGAAACUAACAAGGAUUCCCUUAGUAACAGCGAGUGGAGCGGGAAGAGCUCAAAUUUGAAAUCUUCAAGGUUUUACCUUGACGAAUUGUAGUUUAAAGAAGUGUUUUCUGCUGAAGUUUUGGUAAAAGUUCUUUGGAAUAGGACAUCAUAGAGGGUGAGAAUCCCGUAUUUGACCAUUAUUUUCAGCUUUGUGACACACUUUCAAAGAGUCGGAUUGUUUGGGAAUGCAGUCCAAAAUGGGUGGUAAAUUUCAUCUAAAGCUAAAUAUUGGCGAGAGACCGAUAGCGAACAAGUACCGUGAGGGAAAGAUGAAAAGAACUUUGAAAAGAGAGUUAAACAGUACGUGAAAUUGUCAAAAGGGAAGCGUUUGACACCAGUGUUGUUUUCUCGAAAAUCAAUUAAAAAUGGCUCGAUUUUGUAUUGCUUGAGACCUUAAAAGCUCACUGUACAUUUUUCGUGUCCUUUUUUAAUGCACUUUUCGUUUAACAAGUCAACAUCAGUUUCUUUUGUUGUAAAAGGGUCAUUGGAAGGUGGCUUUCUUUUCGGAGAAAGUGUUUAUAGCCUUUGGCCUCUGCAAUCGGAGAGACUGAGGUCUGCAGCGUAGACUCUUCGGGGUUAGAUACAUUUGUGCUAAGUUAUAGCUUUUUAUAGACAACUUGUUGACUAUAAUUAGUCUUGUAGCUUACUCGCUUAUGCUAUUUUACCUACGCUUAGGAUGUUGAAGUCAUCGUAUCGCGC
rnacentral:rRNA from 1 species